CCCUGCAGUGCUCCCACAGCCGCCACCUCCCCCCGACACUGCUUUGGGGGCAGGGAGCACCUGCAGGCUUCUGCCCGGGCACGCCAGGCAUCAACACAUCCCAGGGGUUCUGCCACUUGGGAAUCCUGGCUUGUCCCAGCUGAGCUCCGGCCACCCUGCUGAUGCUGGCACAGGCACAGCCAUGUCCACGCAUCCAGGCUGGGCAGCCACCGUGUCACACAGCACGGGAGGAGUGGGAAGGAGGCGAGCCGGGCUGUGCCGGCGCUGCGGGGCAGGUGACACCGCCAAAAAGGAGGAGGACGAGGACGGGGGCGAUGCCAGGCAAGGCUGCGGUCACUGCGCAGCCAGGCCGUGGGUUGGCUGGCUGUGACAAGGCCGCUGUGACAUCGGCGCUGUGACAACGCGGCUCGUGUCCCGAGGGCAGAAAGCAUCUCCCUCGUUAGGCGCGCUCGCCGCUCCCGGGCCGCCUGCCCGCCGCCCGCAGCUGCUGCUCCUCCCCGCUGCGCCCGCCGCUGUCUCCCCGUAAUUAAAGAUCCAACGACCUUUGCCGACUGCCUGAGACGCUGGAACAAAUGAACGAGGCGCGCUCCUGAUUGAUCUGGAAGAAGCAGCUCAGUGCGAGGGAAGGAGUCUAUACACACCGAAACAGCUCUUUAAUUUCUUAAUUUAAUAUCUGACACGUAAAGAUUCUCAUUAAGCCAGUCAAUGAAGCCUGGAAAUACAAUUUUCGUGCAAACUGU